rnacentral:rRNA from 1 species
AUACGUAGGGGGCGAGCGUUGUCCGGAAUGACUGGGCGUAAAGGGCGUGUAGGCGGUUGUCUAAGUCUGGUGUGAAAGUCCUGCUUUCAAGGUGGGAAUAGCUUUGGAUACUGGAUGACUUGAGUGCGGAAGAGGUAAGUGGAAUUCCCAGUGUAGCGGUGAAAUGCGUAGAGAUUGGGAGGAACACCAGUGGCGAAGGCGACGUACUGGCCGUAACUGACGCUGAGGCGCGAAAGCGUGGGGAGCGAACAGGAUUAGAUACCCUGGUAGUCCACGCGGUAAACGAUGAAUGCUAGGUGUUGCGGGUAUCGACCCCUGCAGUGCCGGAGUAAACACAAUAAGCAUUCCGCCUGGGGAGUACGGCCUCAAGGUUGAAACUUAAAUGAAUUGGCGGGG